rnacentral:rRNA from 1 species
UACGGAGGGGACUAGCGUUGUUCGGAAUUACUGGGCGUAAAGCGCACGUAGGCGGAUUUGUAAGUCAGGGGUGAAAUCCCGGGGCUCAACCUCGGAACUGCCUUUGAUACUGCAAAUCUCGAGUCCGGAAGAGGUGAGUGGAAUUCCUAGUGUAGAGGUGAAAUUCGUAGAUAUUAGGAAGAACACCGGUGGCGAAGGCGGCCAACUGGACCACAACUGACGCUGAGGCGCGAAAGCGUGGGGAGCAAACAGG